ACUUGGUGAUGAGGGCAUUGAGUCAAGAGCAGCUUAAACCUUUCCCAUGCUUCAUGAAACGAUUCUGGAUCUCGCUGCACAAAGUUGCAAAUUUUCGCCCUCAGAUC